rnacentral:rRNA from 1 species
CCUACGGGUGGCAGCAGUGGGGAAUAUUGGACAAUGGGCGAAAGCCUGAUCCAGCCAUGCCGCGUGUGUGAAGAAGGCCUUCGGGUUGUAAAGCACUUUCAGUGGGGAAGAAAGCCUUGGGGCUAAUACCCUCGAGGAAGGACAUCACCCACAGAAGAAGCACCGGCUAACUCCGUGCCAGCAGCCGCGGUAAUACGGAGGGUGCGAGGUUAAUCGGAAUUACUGGGCGUAAAGCGCGCGUAGGCGGUCUGAUAAGCCGGUUGUGAAAGCCCCGGGCUCAACCUGGGAACGGCAUCCGGAACUGUCAGGCUAGAGUGCAGGAGAGGAAGGUAGAAUUCCCGGUGUAGCGGUGAAAUGCGUAGAGAUCGGGAGGAAUACCAGUGGCGAAGGCGGCCUUCUGGACUGACACUGACGCUGAGGUGCGAAAGCGUGGGUAGCAAACAGGAUUAGAUACCCGAGUAGUC